GCUCAGGAUGAACGCUGGCGGCGUGCUUAACACAUGCAAGUCGAACGAGAAUCUGCUGAAGGAGGAUUCGUCCAACGGAAGUAGAGGAAAGUGGCGGACGGGUGAGUAACGCGUGAGGAACCUGCCUUGAAGAGGGGGACAACAGUUGGAAACGACUGCUAAUACCGCAUGAAGCAUAGGGGUCGCAUGAUCUUUAUGCCAAAGAUUUAUCGCUUCAAGAUGGCCUCGCGUCUGAUUAGCUGGUUGGCGGGGUAACGGCCCACCAAGGCGACGAUCAGUAGCCGGACUGAGAGGUUGAACGGCCACAUUGGGACUGAGAUACGGCCCAGACUCCUACGGGAGGCAGCAGUA
rnacentral:rRNA from 1 species